UCCCCCGGUCCGAGCUCCGCCGCUCGUCAGUUCGGCCGCCGGCCCCGAUCUGCGAUGCCCGGGACGGCUGGAUAAACAGCAGCGGCCGGGGCGCUCGGGUGCCUCGGGCAGAAUGGCCAGAGCGCGGUGCCGCCCGCACGGUCGGAGAAGCCUCCCCUGGAGCAGCUCUAGCGGGAGGGCCCGCUGCUGGGCAGCGACGGCUGCGGCAGCGUUUACUUCAGGACCCGGCUCGCCGAAGAGAAGAGACGAGGCCGGGUCGGAGGGGGGCGAGCUCAGCGCGCCGCUCGCCUCGGCUCGCAGGUGGCCAUCAAGCGAGUGUCCCGGGAUCGCAUCUCGGAGUGGGCGCGGCUGGAAGGCCGGAGUACAGCCCACCAGAGUGGAUCCUCUUCGGCUGCUACCAUGGCCUGCCAGCCACCAUCUGAUCCCUGGGCAUCCUGCUGUAUGACCUGGUCUGCAGGCACCUUCCUUUCCACAGUGAUGAGGACAUCAUCUGGGGCCUGCUCUUCUUCCCAGCCCGGGUGUCUCAAGUCUCUUACAGAGAAAACUUUGGAACCACAGUGGGAGGGACCGUUCAGGUGCUUCUCACCACCUUUACUGCAAUCAAGAUCAAGGAGCAGAAUGCCUAGGUCCAUCACUCUCGAGUGAAGAAGGCCCAAGAAACCCCCUUGGAGAGUGACAUCAGGAGACAAUAAACUGAAACUAAAGCUUACAUGAGCAAAAAUGAGUAUAUUGCAGUCGAGAGUGGUUCAUACUUUCACUUGCAGAAUUGUUUUGUAUAUAUUUAUAACUGAUCUUGCUAAUUUGGAAUUAGAGAAUACUACAAUGAGUAGCUAUGUUAACAUCCCUAUCAAAUGUACACGGCAAAGGCUUGGGAGACACCUAUUGUCGUAAGAGUCUGCAUUAAGUAAAAGAAUUUACUUAUUUUCUAGGAAAGGGGGGAAUGAGACAGAGUAGAAAUUUUCCAGGUUCCAGGCUAGAAAUCCUUUUUGAUUUAGGUUAAAUGUACAUCUUGUAGUUAAGCCUUGGAAUCUUAGCUGUUUAGUCUGAACACAGAACAUUGCACCAGUGAAGGGCAGAGAUA